UAACUGCUUCUCUCUUUUUGGAUACCUUCUCCUUCUUUGCCAACAGCUUCGGGUGUUACGCUCUUUUCCUUGACUCAGCGUUGACCAGGGUUCACAAACUCAAAACCUGCAGUGACCAGCUGGUAAAAGGUGAAGAAUUGGAGAGCCCAGGGGCCCACCUACAAAGAGGGCAGCAAUUACUCAUCUAUCUUCAACUGAUCUCCACAAUGGACUGAUGACUCACUGUGGUCUUGGCAUGCCUUCAACAACUGGGACAUAUCAAGAAUAAAACAGGCAGUUUCAACAAUCACAAGGGUUUGAGAGAUAACUAAGAGGGCAAUAUUGAAUGAAAAGUAUCAUUACCUACUCAAGGCCACUCCUUCAAGACUAAAAAAGGUAGCUGUUUGGCCUAACACACACAAACAAAUACAAAGAGUCAAGCAAAAUGAAGAAACAGAGAAAUAUGUUCCAAGUGAAAGAAUAAAACAAACCUCAGAAAAGAAAAAAGGAGGAAAUCCACUUGUAGUGUCUCAGCUCAUGGACCAAUGUCAUAUUGACUGAAUAAAACAAUUUGGCUUGGAGGGAGUUUGAUACAUGCUGGAUGAGAAAAAGUGUCUAAGCAGCUUUGAGGAACCAGGCAGAGUAGGAUCAACACUGUUUUCUUGUGGCACCUCUUGAGCCAUUCAGUGGUUCUCAAAUAUCCAACAAGGUGCCGGUGCUGGGUUCCCAAAGAGCACAUCUUAGUCAUGUGAGGCAUCUGUCAACUAUCGGGGAGCCCAGGUGAGAGG